ACACACGUGUUUCCGUUUCAACGAAAACAACAACAUAGUUUCACUGUCACAGCGAAGGCUUGUAUUUUACAUCUUUAAAACGACCUGAUGUCAGAAGAAGAUGCCCUGGAAUUCCUGUUGCAGGAUGACCCAAACGAUCAUGCAUUCAGUAUAAACAUGUACAUGGUAUUGCCAUCCCAAUAUUUAGUUGGAAGUUCCCAGGUAUAGUCCGCUAGUGACAGUCUGCUGGCAAAUCCAGGCAUGCGAUGGAAGGAUGCUAAUGUGAAGGACACAGGGACACCCGAUCCAAGAACUGUGGCAUUUCAUUCAGAGUGACAACCUGACAUUCAGUUGAUAUUGGACCCGAUUAUUCAGAAAACUGCAGAUUUUAGGAAGCUGUUUUUGACAGAAGAUUUGGUUUUUUCCAUCUGUAUUGCCACCAACCAUUAUGCUGAAAUGGUCAUAUCUAGGGGGAAAGAUUGUCAUUAUACUUCCCAAGGAAGUUCGCAUCCUCUCACUGAAGAGGAAUUGUACAGGUAUUACUAGUUUUAAAGUACCGAUAUUGUGACGGUGAUUUUCAGUUUCAAACGAAUAAUAAAAUGCAUAAUAAAAAGAUUAUCUUUACCAAAAUUAAUCUUGCUGUGCGUCUAACACAUUUAUUAGAUGUGUACUACAAUUACCUCUGAUAAAAUUCCAUAAGUAAUUAAUGCAUACUAGUGAUUUUCAGAGGGCCUUGGCAUUCUCUACCCAGAGAUCCGUGCUCUCCUCGCACUAUACCUCUGUCAACGGCUUUUUACAGAAAUCGUGUUAAAGUUUCUUUGAUCCAAUAUUUAUAUUUUGGACUAAAUAUUUAGUCAUAUUAUGAUAUGUUUUUGGUGCAAUCAAAUUGAUGCUUACUGUAAAUUGUUUAAAAUCGCCGUUUUCUGAUCAUAAAUUUGGAACUACUUCAUAAUAUGCGUAUGA